rnacentral:rRNA from 1 species
AGCGAACGCUGGCGGCAGGCCUAACACAUGCAAGUCGAACGGAUCCUUCGGGAUUAGUGGCGGACGGGUGAGUAACACGUGGGAACGUGCCCUUUGGUUCGGAACAACUCAGGGAAACUUGAGCUAAUACCGGAUGUGCCCUUCGGGGGAAAGAUUUAUCGCCAUUGGAGCGGCCCGCGUCUGAUUAGCUAGUUGGUGAGGUAACGGCCCACCAAGGCGACGAUCAGUAGCUGGUCUGAGAGGAUGAUCAGCCACACUGGGACUGAGACACGGCCCAGACUCCUACGGGAAGCAGCAGUGGGGAAUCUUGCGCAAUGGGCGAAAGCCUGACGCAGCCAUGCCGCGUGAAUGAUGAAGGUCGUAGGAUUGUAAAAUUCUUUCAGCGGGGACGAUAAUGACGGUACCCGCAGAAGAAGCUCCGGCUAACUUCGUG